rnacentral:rRNA from 1 species
AUUGAACGCUGGCGGCAGGCCUAACACAUGCAAGUCGAACGAGUGGCGGACGGGUGAGUAAUGUCUGGGAAACUGCCUGAUGGAGGGGGAAAACUACUGGAAACGGUAGCUAAUACUGCAUACACUCAGAUGUGACCAGGUGGGAGUAGCUAGUGGGUGGGGUAACGGCUCACAAAGGGGACGAUCCCUAGCUUGUCUGAGAGGAUGACCGGCCACACUGUAACUGAGAAACGGACCAGACUCCUAGUGGAGGCAGCAGUGGGGAAUAUUGCACAAUGGGCGCAAGCCUGAUGCAGCAAGGCCGCGGGUAUGAAGAAGGCCUUCGGGUUGUAAAGUACUUUCAGCGGGGAGGCGUUACCCGCACAAGAAGCACCGGCUAACUCCGUGCCAGCAGCCGCGGUAAUAC